CAUCCCAUUUCGGUUGGGACUAUACCCACUGCUAAAACGAAGGAGACCAUAAUCCCCAAUCCAACAGCCUUGAGAAGAGGUUCACUAGCCGGAAUAGCUAAUUCACACAAAGGUUCAUUGCUCAUAGCUUGGUUCACUGAUUCUGACUGUGUCCCACUCACUCUUUCUAGAAACUUGAUAACCUGAAAACCUGGUACUUGAUGUUAGGGCUUGAAAAAAGCCUCGUAGUCUAUGUUGGGGCAAAAAAGAGAUGGGUCCGGUAUAGAGCUAUGGUCCACCUUGUACCAAACAACACACCAAUCAUAAUAAGAGUAAAGUAAGGGCCAACAUAACCCGGUCCGCAUGAUACUACAUCUCUUAAGACUUCUUAAACAUCCAAUGGGUCAUUCACUAAAGAACGAUAGCUAGCCCCUAGACUCGAUGAAGUUAAUAAAGUUGUAUCUAGUGAGAUUUUAAUAGUAAUGUAUUCGAAUCCCAAUUUAUUAUUGAAUAUGGUAAGCUUUUCUAAUUCGUUGUUGGAAUAUUCUAGUUCUUUUCGUACACUAUCUUCAAUAGUAAAUUUAUUGAAGAUAGUGAGGGUUCUGAGGUUAGCAAUCAGCCUUCUCUGAAUCGUACAUUGAGAAUAUUUCAUCCCUGGUGGGAACACAUAUCGGAAAAAAAAGGUCCAUUUGACAUGGAACCAAGACAAAAAAAGUUCUUCUUGCAAAGAAGCCCGUGCUUCUUUUGUUGAAAUAAGCGCAUAACCAUAAAAAAGAUCAUUAAAAAAGCGUGAGCCAUUAUUAAAACAUUAUAAAGUUGAUGAUUCCCACCAAGAAUUUGAUCGCUGGGUCGUGCUAAUUCCAUAUGAAUCAGUACUGAGAAGCAUGUUCCCAUCACUCCAGCAAUGGCACCGAAGAUGAAAUAAAGAGUCCCUAUAUCCGACGGAAAAUACCAUUUAGAAGGAUUUCAAUCGAGAUACCUGAACAGGGCAUUAGUUGAUUCUCGAGUUCUGAGAUGCGGAAGAAGGUUACCGAAUCGAUUGUCGGCUGCCCAUUGUAUAACUCGAUAAACUUCCCCCCCUUGUCCCCCUCUCCCCCCAAUACUUUGGGGAUACCCUCUAAUUCCAUUAUUCCGGCGCCUCCCCAUUCACCUUCUUCAUCGAGAAUGUCUUCCAUAAAUGAAAUUCUCUCUCCUUAUACUGGCCUUUAGGAAAUCGCUUUAGUGCCGCACAGCGAGCAGGGAAGAUGCAGCCGAAGUUGCCCAGAGAGUUAUAAGUGAAGCGCUGGGAUGUCAAUGCCCAUAGAGGUAGUAGCAAGAGAGGCCACGCCGGAAAGCGUGAGUCAGAAGCAGAGCUUACUAAUAAGGGGUGACCGGAUUAGAUUAAUAUCAAUGGAUCCUUUAUCAGUCAUUCAUUGAAUGAUAAAUAACUACAAGUGACGAAGACAGGUGAUUUAAAUAACGAAAAAUCCAAUAUUUAAAAAUGGAUAACCAAUUCAUUUUCAAAUAUAGUUGGGAGACUUUACCCAAGAAAUGGGUUAAAAAAAUGGAAAGAUCGGAACAUGGGAAUAGACCUAAUACCAAUACGGACUACCUAUUUCAAUUGUUGUGCUUUCUGAAAUUGCAUACCUAUACAAGGGAUUUAGGGACUAGGCUUGUUUACCGUCUUUGGCCAAGCUCAGGGAUUGACGAAGCUCUAUACCUCCCUGGCAGAGGCAUUUCCCCAUUUCUUCCGCCCUUGGCCUUAAUCGCUUACUCUGACGGAUCCGUAGUAAUGAAAUGGGGAAAUCUUUCAUGCAAUAGUGUGUUUGAAGUCCUACUAAGCUAAAGAAGCAGAUGAAGCAUCGGGUCUUGGAGAAGAAUAAUAUCACAGAGCACAGCAAACCGCUAAACCAUGUGCGCGUGAUUGCUCGCCUAUCAUGAGUUUGACUUGCGCUCUAAAGCUGUCUUUUCGAGGAAGACCGGAGAGAACCUUUAUGACAUUUUUGUGGAUAAAGCAGUCGGUGAAGAUUUUUCUUAUGUUGUUUAAGACCCCUUAUGGGGAAACUUUGGCAAGGUAUAUUAUUCCUUUUUCCCAGUGGGUGCAGGCUUCAUCGAAAGGCUCUCCGCCUCGUGGCAUUAUUGGGUUCGUUUGCAAACAACACUUCUUCCCUCGCCUAUUCCUUUCUGUUAACUAUUGAGAUAUUCCUUCCCUACCCUCCUAGAAAGGAUUCCUUGUUCUGACUGCAGCACCAUAUCUUGACCCUUUUCUUUAAUUGGUCCAUUUCGAGUUGGCCCAUUCCCCUUCGACCGGUCGUAAAAGGAGAACAACUGAGAGAGUAUGCUAUGCGCAGACUGUCUUGCUGCUUUCUUUCUUUGAGGACUCUUUUGUAAUAGCUUGAUGAGCUGAACCAACAAGAUAUAUUACGUUCUACCCUCUGCUUUGAGCCCGGCCGAGAGUGAGCUUCCUGAUAGUCUCUUCCUUCCUAGAAAUAGAACUCUAACUAUCAAACCUGUCCCGUCUCCUUACUCGAGAUAUCUGAGAUAGCUCCAAGAGUGCAUCCAAAAAUUCGAGAAGAGUGUUCGGCCUUGGUUGAAACAAUUAUAGGUGUCAAUGGACCGAUUUCACUAGCAGAGCACUUUCUCUAAUGUGCGCAAAUAGAGAUGGCACUUUCAAUGAUGGACACCGACCCUUGUGUUAAAGUAGCAUUGAGUUUCGCUUGGAAACCGGAAAGUUUCAAGUUUCCAAAUAAGUGGUACCCUUUCUUUACUUUAGAGUCCGAUAGGUCAAUUAAGUUGCCUAAAUCUCUUCCUUAUCUGCUGCUCUGUAGCUGCCUUCCUCGCUUCGUCUUCAGCUUUCAGAGUUGUGAACUAACCUCUUCCUUUUACAGCCAGACAAUUGGCAGAUAAGCUGGGCAUCUAAAGAACAUAAGAUCCGAGUUACCGCCAGGCGUAAAAGUCAUAUUGUCAACUAGGGAAAUUGGCACAACCAGGCAUCUCAAACAUUGAUAAGGGAAGAAUCAGGCUUUCAUUAGGAUGAUAUUCCUUUCAUCCGAAUGGCAAGGCUUGCUAGUUUCCUGAAGUACACUCACAUCUGUCUAUCUAUGUCAUAGUUGCUUGGAAGGAAGGUCUCAGAUGUACCUUCGGCAUGUAUGAGAUUUUCUUUCCUCUAUCUAUGUCAUACUUGGGAUUCACUAACAGCCAAUUCCAAGUAGAUCCUCCCUCCCCCUCGCUCUACUUUGUUUCGCUUGUUUUCUCUUUCCUUCUGCCUACAAAAAAAGUUCUGAGAUUAGUUUUGUGUGCGUUAGCGAUCAUCAAACCUAUAACAUAGAUAAGAUUGAAGUUCAUGCAGUUGGAAUGCCUGAGACCACUUUUAGCCUUGCUGCUCUUGCUUCUCUGGCUACUGCUCCGUCUAAGGCUUUCUUUCUGCUUUGACUUGCCUUCCUUAUCUUUCAAUCUGGACUUGCAUGUGUUCCAUGACUAUUUCGAGUGAUUUUUGCUAUCUAGCUUGAGUUAGAAAAGUAGAGAAGGAUCUUAUGCCACCGGUGACCGACCUGUCUAUCUAGUAUCUAGUACUAGGACUAGUAGAGUAGAGACACUAUUACAUAAGUUAAUUCCUAAUUCUUAUCUCACAUUAUGAGAUAAGUACGCAGUUAUUAUUGUAUCGGCCCAAAACCUCGCUAAUUGAUCUUUACGGUGCUUCCUCUUUCUCUAUCAAUUAAAGCCCGCGGGAAGCAUGAAGAGCUAAGCCACUAAUGUUGUGGCGAAGGUUAGACCUCAUAAAGUCAGCGAAGCUAAGGUUUUGUAUGUGUGAUAGAGAAAGGAAAAGCGACCCCGUGCCCUACUACAAUUCUUAUUCAAUAGUUUCAUAUUACUACAAUGUCGUGCCGAUGUCUCCCUUACGAAAUUGAAGAUAAGUCUUUUGAUUAGGGGGGUGACAACCGAGGCUUUUAAGAGAAGUUGCCAUAUAGGUCAUAAAGAGCUAUCUUAUAUCUAAUAGGAAUAAUCCAAUUCUUAUGUCUACUGUGGGAAAUAGGGUCCCAAUACCAUCUCUUCAAUGACGUAGACAAAGGGUUCCCAUCAUGUUCGAUCUGAGAAGAGAGAUGAAGAAGAAGAUGUCCUCCUCAAGGGGUCGACGCCCUCGCUCAGAACUAAAGGAUCCUCGUACAUCGGCACUCACUGCAUAAGCUCAUAGGGCAAGAUGAAGAUCCAAAAAAAGGUUAAAGAGAUCGUCAACUUUGCCUUGGCAUGCUUCCAUCAGUGCUGAAAAGAGAACUAAGGCAAGGCUAUUGAUGUACCACUGUAUGGAGGGCUCAAAGAGAGUAUAAGCACUUUACUUCACGCUUAGUGUGAACUUCCGAUUUGAGGCUGCUCUUAGACCAGGAAGAUUGCUUAUGACAUCAAUCAUCUAGGUCCAUCCUAUGUCGAAUAGUUUGUCAAUGUAUGCUUCCCUAGCUGUGGGGAGAGUUCAUUGAACUCGAUUCGCUAUGUGUGAUAGAAUUGUUUGAAGGAAUGGAAUCCGAAGCAAAGAAUGCUCUGUUUGCUAUUGAAUCAGAAUGGAAAAGGAUUAGCAGGGCUGUUAGCCAUUGAUUCUAAAGCAUUUUUGCUUCCAGGCACGUAUGUGAAUAGGCGGCACUGGUCUUUUUCUUCCUUUCGCAUUGUCUCAUCUCGUACAGCAGGAGGUUGAAUAGUCUAAGAAGAUGGCAUAAAAUCAAGGCUCUUGUCUUUUAGUAGUUAGGUUUGCUUUCUCCUUAGCCUCAAUCUCUCGUCAAGGGAAUCAGUUGUGGGUAUCUCUAUAGAUGUGGCUUUACCAAGGUUAGCUUGACUUUGACUCUCUCUUGCUUGAGAAUGCACUGCUGGUAGGAAGAAUGCUGACUUUAUGUCCGAGCUGGGUGAAUCCAAAAUGACUUUCUUCGUUGAACGAGGGGAUCCUCUUUUGGUUAUAGUCCCGUAUUCAAAUAGGUACGUAGUUCAUCAGUAAGCAAAUAAUCCUAGCCGAGCUGGUAAGCCUUCAAUUCGUUCUAUGAGUCCACAGCUCUUAGCUUUUGCAUCAUUCCAUCUUUUACCCCCACCUAAGUCCUAAUCCGAUAAGCUUAUCAGUUCAGUCAGCUUCUCCCACAGCAAGAACUUCAUUUUCUUACCUAUGAUAAUAGAUCUUGGCCUAGUGUGAAGUAUCAUCUUAUUACCUGAAAGUUAUUCGAGGAUUCGUUUCAUUAUGUGAAACUCAUUCUGUCUAUUUACCUAAACUCCAAGUAGUAGUUAUACCGAGUAAGCUUUGUAUUCCAAUCUAAGGGCGGGAUCAGCACGGGAAGCACAUGCUUAUCAGCUAGGAGGACAGAAAGAGGUAAUACAUGAUCAAAGGAUCUAACAAUAGUGAUGUGGUUGAAGGCUCAGCGGGCUUCCUAGAAAUGAGGCUUAUCCUUAGCGCGAGGCAGGUCUUCUUUCCCACCGUGCCCGCCCACCGCCCUCACUCCGCUCGUCUCUGUGAUUCAUUUCAUGUAGAAAGAUGAGACCCAUUAGGAGAUAACCAUGGUAUAAUCUAACUUGAGCCACACAAAGACUCCCUUAACGGUGCGGGCACUCCCCCCUAAGGAGCUUGUGCAACAUCUUGAACCUCCCUUCAGAGUCAAAGGUUGCCCAGGUGGUUACUAAGCUAGUCAAACUCAAGAAAGAAGAUUCAAGUCCAGCAAAGUAGACUGUAAAGAAUUUCUUUAUAUAGGCCUUCUUCAAUUUAGAUGGAAACCUGCGUCCCCAAAGAAAACGCAGUCCCAGCCAUCACCUAGGAAAGAUCCCAGCUGUCAAGCAAGUACCACACUCCAACGAGUGGCACUUAGAUAGCUGAGAGGAUCCUAAUGUAAAACUAACCACCGAAACACUUGUCACUGGUACAAUCCGAUCAUGCCAUAGUGCUGACGAACAACAUGAGAGUUCCAGUUUCUACACCCACCAGAAGCAUCGCCACCCUGUCAGAGCUAUGACAGGUAGCGUACUAAAUGACAUUUGAACUACACCUGACCCCUGACAAGGAACAGUUGUGUUAUCUUAACUAAAUUAUAUAGUGGAGCAAACAGGUAAUAACCCUAAAACUCUAUCCAUCAUUCUUGCCUUAUUCAACCAAGAAGGCAACUUUCUCAUUAAAGGGCGGCCCACAAUAUACAAAAUACAAAAGUGAGGGUAGCCAAGGUGCACCUCUCCAUAGGACCACUCCAUGUGGUUACCCUACAAGGAGGUACGAAGUAGCUAGAGAUUCAUUUCAAAUGAGUUAAGACUAAGGUACAGAGAUUCGUUGAACAUAGUUGAACAUAGUUCAACUCAUUGGGAUCUUGACCUUGAAAGGUCCAGAUCAUCUUUUCCUAUGAAAGCAUGAGAUAGAGUGUUUCGAGACUUCGAUGUCGAUCGAUAACCCUUCUUCUCUGGAGUGGAACAAGGGCACCCAGUCUAAGAAGUGGAAGUUUAUGACGAUGCCUGAAAUGAGUAAUCCAGAACCUCUAUCCGUCCAUCUAUGGAGGUUUUUUCAAGCCUGAUCCGCUGCCUGUGAAGACCAAGAAGUAAGAGUGGUUGGACGAUUAACUAGGUCUAUAAGCCAAAAACUAAAUGAAAAGGACCAAAGAUAGCUGCUCCCCUUGUUCCUUCCUAAAUUUAUCGGAUGAAAGUUGUGAACGUAAGCGGUGCACAUGAAACGUAUGCGCUCUUUGAAAUGACCCUUCCUUCCCCGUAUCCGAUGUUCUUAGUCUUUCUGGUCUUGUUGGAAGAAAAAUAGUGGGUGAAAGAGAAGUUCUUUAGUCUUAGUUCAGGGAGGGAAUGAUUGCACAUUCAAGGACCCGAAGCAAGCAGCCGACCGUCGUAGAUCAGUUGGAUUAGUCUAAAUAGCUAGAAAAUUUCCCAGCCAAUGGGCAAGCUAGUUCUUUAGCAAAAUCCAUAGUCUUUCAAGCUAUGGAUAAGAGAGAUAGGCUCGUGAGAACUCGCACUCGUCGGUCGGGUAAAGCGUCAAUCAAGUCAUCUCGUAAAAGCUCCCACUCCUUGCAAGGCUAAGAAAGCACUUUGGCUAGGGCGAAUGGUUCUAAAAAAGGAAGCAACAUUCAUUCGAUCUUUGAACCAACUCAACUGAAAGACUCGACGACUGGGGCGGAACAGUUUCCAUCUAUUAGCCUUAGGGGCUUCUUUAAAGAGUACCUGUUCUAGCUAGUAGCCUCUUUUUCCUAAUGAGGAAAUAGUGGCCGAUUAGCUACAUCCUUUAAGUCCAUUAGCGCAAGUCACUCCAUUAGCUCUAUUAGCUACAAGAAGAGGAUAUCGACUUAUUAAAGGGGCGGGCGGCAGUCAGACCUUUUUAUGAACUGAUAGCACAAACUUUAUGUCGGAAUCUAUCUGGCAUUCCACUUCGAAAGCUGUCUUUCUAAUGGCUUCUCUAUAUCUAUCAUUGUAGGCUCGACUUUCUUUAUUCUCUACUGUAAGACAUUUAGUGGUUUAAAAAUCGCAUACCAUGUUGAAUCGAUAGACGAAAAAAGAACCCAAAGCAUUGACAUUGAAAGAAGUCCCUCAAGCAUUUAAAAAAGAACAAAGACAAGGGUUAUACCUAUUAGAGAAUCCUUACUAGUCUCAUAGAUUACUCAAAAUUCAACUCAUACACAGAAAAGGAAAAAGAUUGAUACUUAUACUGAUAUCGAGCUGGAAGAGCACUGGAUAGAGACUAUAGGGUCUCAUCCCUGCUUCAACUACGAGAUAGGGAGACAGCAUCGUAGCAUGAAAUGAGCCAAUGCCAAGUGCUCUCUUUGUUUGCUGCUCCUCUUCUUCCAAAGCAUUGAAUAAAUGAAGAGAGUGACCCUAAAAGAGGAGGCAAUAUCUGACAUUUUACUUAUACGUUACUCUCAACUUUGAGAAUUUCAACUUAUAUCAGAGCAGGGAAAGCGGAGAUGCUGGUAAUUAUAUACGUAGUAAUGAAUGCCUGACCUUUCUAGUGGAGCAAUCCUAUGUUUAGGAACGUGACACAUCAAUUCUUUGUACCGAAGUAAGGUUGACUGCAGAUGAUAGUUAUACGUCUGCCAGCAGUCAAAAUUGAGAAAUUGUACAGAUUCAAUUCGAUGAUUCAUGUCUUCAUUGGUAACUAAUCACCUUUGGGUAGAAGCAUGGUAACAAAAAGAAGUCAGCCUGGGGGUCUUCUAACUGAAGAUAAAGGACCGGUAAUUGAAUCAAUAACCGUAGUUACUAGACUAGCUCUUAAAUUAGCUAUGACAGUAUCUAUUAGUGCGUCUUAUAUGUUUGAUCUUAAUGCCAGAAUAGAGUUCAAGACGAAAGUGUUUCAAAAUAGAAAGAGAAAGUCUAGAAUGAAGUAGCUCGCCCUUUCUCAGUGGAACUAAAAAAAAAAGAGUUUGAGCUCUUUUUUUUGGUUGACUUUUAGCCACGCGCGGGGACUAUGUGCAUGUGUCCCAAAGUGACGUAUAUUUUUUGGUAAUGGGUUUACUCAAGAGAAAAGGUUUGAAAUUCGACCUCACUUUAUACGCUCUAAAAGGGGGUCAUGGACUCCUUUUUAGUUUAGGAUCCCCUUUCUACAUUCAAGUCAACCUACAAGCACGGAAGAGCGUGGUACCGCUACCCCUCUCUAAGUAAAGGUAAGAUUCUUAGCCCUGUAGAUGACUCCAUCUAAAAUACAAUAAGGACAGCCAUUUUUGGCUGGCCUUGAGUUGAUAUUUAAAAGAAGGAGCUCGUCCUGGUGUGCUGUUUCCUUUCCUGCUACUAAUUUUUGAGUAGAAACUCCUCUUUGGUUUAAUUCAUAUCCAACUUUCUCUAGCGGAAUUAGACUUUCAUUUCUAUUUCUUCAAAUCCAGCAUGACAUGUGUCAAGAAUCAAAGAAAAGUUCAAAAAUUGGCGAAUUCAAUGUUUCCAUAUCCGUCCGGGCAGGAAAUUCUCAAGUCAAGAUAUGCAAAAUAAAAAGACUCCCUGGGAGAUGGUAUUCUUUGUUUUUGGUCUUGAUAGAUUUUUCUAUCGAUUGAAGUUAUUACGCUGGCUGAUUAAAUCUCUUCCUAACGCCUUUAGGGGCUGUGAAGAGAGCCCAGUUCCAGGCCUCAGUUUACCGUAUAAUAUUUGUGGUUCACUUCGUCACACUCUCGAUUAACAAAAGGGGGAUAUGGUUCAACCCCGGUCUACAGGCUCUCGAUCUUUAUCUACAGGGUGCUUUUAACUCGGCAUAGGGACCUCUGCCUUUCUUCUCAUAUUCGAAGACCCUUGGCUGAAAGAGAAAUCGAUGAUCAAGAAAGAUAUAAAGAACAGGUCUCAACUCCACUACAAGAAGAUUGGUUGCUCUCUGCUUCCUCAUUCUCAUCCUCGGAUUCUUCCUAUACCAUUACUUGAGGUAUUGAGGUUGAACUGACGUUUUUCCCACAUAGUUAAUCGAACUUCAAGGAAAAUUGAUCACAGCUGAGUCUGAGCACUUCUUCAAUUUACUAAGAUAUCAAGUCUCAAAUUCCAAGGUGUGGACUAGGAAAUGCUCCCUGAAUCAUGAAGUUUGAGAGUUUGGGACCACUUUAUUCUCUUAUACCGUUCUUUGUUUACUUCUGGCCUUCUCGAACUCCUACACGGGGGGAGUCAGAUCUUAGAGUAAGCUCCUUUCCAUGGGCAAUCUACUCAAGAGUUUAGGCCCCUAAUUCGGUCUAUGUCUGAGCUGCUGCCGUACUCAAAGGCGAGGGGCUCAAAAAGUGGAUGCGAUUGGAAAAUGCACGAUUAGCAGUGAAUAGGAUCAAUCCUCCAUAUUCUUCUCUUCGGCAUAGUGAAGGAUCUUUCAUUGUAGCCAGUCUUUACUGAACUCGGCCCAAGCAAUGCCCAAGGACUCCCAUCCCAUGUCUUUCUUGGUUGGACCAACCCAACCGACGAUUUCCGUGAGCAAGAAAAAGUCUCUCUUUUUGGGAGUAGAGCAGGCUGGGUGGUUUUUUUCGUAAGGAGGGGUGACCAAGAGGGCGAUUAUGGUUGCAUUCUGGUUAACUGCUUCCACAAACACCCAGCCUGCUGAGAGGUAUUAUGUAAUCCAAGAAUCAGGAUCUGCGAGAUAUGGAUAUGAAACUGGAUAUGCUCGAACUGGACCGCAGGUUGUUGCCUCCAAGUCUCUUGCUCCUAUUAAUCUCAACUUUAGUAGAAGUGGGUAGCGGCACUGGGUGGACGGUCUAUCCGCCCUUAAGUGGUAUUACCAGCCAUUCUGGAGGAGCAAUUGAUUUAGCAAUUUCUAGUCUUCAUCUAUCUGGUGUUUCAUACAUUUUAGGUUCUAUGAAUUUUAUAACAACUAUCUUCAACAUGCGUGGACCUGGAAUGACUAUGCACCCCGAAAGAAGAAUAGCCCCGCUCUCUAGCCGACUGAUCCCAUGGAUUAUACCAACCAAAUUACUUUUUUUAAAUUUGAAUACAAAUGAAAAUGUUAGUAAAAAUCAAAAUAUCAAUAAGAACAAAUUUUUUUUUUCUACCAUCAAAUAAAAAAAUAAAGAAUCGAAUUCAAGAAGCAAAAGAACCCACAAGUCAAGGAAAAAGAGAGCGUGAAUCAGGUAAAAUCUUGGUUUAUUGUUUCAUCAGGGACUCCCAAGUGCCUUUCACUCUCAUUUGGUCUCUUUCUUCUAAAAAAUAAAAUGAAGCAAAGCGCAUGGCAAAGAAGCAGCCAGCUGACUGGCCUCUUCCACUCGAGCCAUGAACCGUUCUCUCGAACUUUUCUCUACUUCAGAAUCCCCGGCCUCACUAAUAUCAGUGAGCCUCUGGAUUCGAACCAACACCUCUUGCAUUCAGCGAACUACCAUAUUAUUCAAGUCAUGAGUUUGGUGCCUGGUUCGUCAAAAACUAUAAAGGCUACAUCCGGGGGUAAGAGGUCGGAAUGAGGGAAGUAGGGCUCCUAUUGACUAAAGGUUUGUUCCAAAGCUUUUUCCCCGAGCACACGCAAUGGAACCAUAGACAGUCAAGUGUGUUCCCUUUGAUCCGAUCCUGUGACAAAGGCAAGCCCGUCACAAAGGCUCUUAAAGAGAGCUUCUCUUUGUACGUAACAGAUGCUUGCUCUAUAGAGAGGCAGAUUCACAAGCAAAGUUACGUGAAAAACGUCUUCUUGUUUUUUUAUAGAUACCCGACCCGAGACCUAACCUUCUGUUGGGAUUUCCAUGCUUAUAAUAGGAUUUGGGAUUUAAUCUUUCCGUUCUUGCUGAUGGGAUUCCUCCCCCAGAGAGGUAACCACGGCAUCCCCUCUUAGUUUUGAGUAGGCGGAACCAUUCUAUUUUGGUUCUUCUCUACGGGUGAUCCAGGAAGGUAGGGAUAAUCGUCCAGGUCUUAUUGUGAAAGAAAAAAGCCGCCCCACCACAACAAAUGGGUUACUUCCUCUGUCGUCGUCGGGGAGCUCUUGGUGAGGAGACCUUAGGAUAAGUUGCUAAAACAAAGGGGAUGGAAGGAUCGACCCAUUCAGAUAAUUCCGAAGAAAGACUAUUGGCAGCAGGUAGAGAGAUUUUUUUUGCCUUUUCAAAACACAAGGAAAUGCGGGCAGGGUAAAGCUCGGCAGAGGGUUCGAGAAUAGGGUAGGGUCCUGUCCUUAAGAUUCAGAUAAGAAAAGAGUUCCAAACCUUUAUGCUCCGUAAAAGUGCUGCAUACAAGUUUCGGCCUGGAUGAUUGAGAAAGAUUUAACCAAUUUCAACCGCUCUCCUUUCGUUCUUACAUGCUCAUGAAAAUAUGAAAGACGUCGGGCUGGUUUUGGCAAGGUUCAGUAUGGAUGGUACCUAUAAUCAGACCCAACCGUUGCCUACCCUUCACUCGCUUUAUCGUCAUGAUCCGGAGAACUCACAAUGUCCAGAUUUGUGAAACUAAUCAUGCCUUUAUGCCGAUCAUCGUAGAAGCUAUUCCUAGGAAAGAUUAUGGGUCUCGGGUAUCCAAUCAGUUAAUCCCAUAAAGUGCGAAAGCUUAAGUGGAAAUUAAAGAGGAGAUUGAGGGAAGCCACUAAAUUGAGGGCUUCGCUCGCUCGCUCUAACGCUCGUUUAGUAGACAGAGAGUGGAGUGCAUAAGUCCGCCACCAUCGGUACUAGUCCAGGAGGUCCUGAACUCAAGGGCCACCUCUGAGAGUGAGACAUUGUAUUGUGUCUAUGUAGCGAUUGGACAAAAAUGCUCAACUGUGGCACAAUUAGUUCAAAUUCUUUCAGAAGAGAAUGCUUUGGAAUAUUCUAUUCUUGUAGCAGCCACCGCUUCGGAUCCUGCUCCUCUACAAUUUUUGGCCCUAUAUUUUAAGUGUGCCAUGGGGGAAUAUUUCUGCGAUAAUGGAAUACACGCAUUAAUAUCCCCGCCCAGUAGUGCCUCUACUCUACUAGUCCUAGUACUAAAUACUAGAUAGACAGGCCGGCAGAGCUUUAGCCAUUGGGCCACAUCCAUCUAUCCUAAACAGUAACCCUUUUCUUGUUCGUUCUUUGAAUGACACUAGUGGAGACUAAUUCCUUUCGGCUAAUGAAGAUACUAAUCUAGUCUUUCCAGUGGAUCCUUCCCUAAGAAUGGAACGAACAUUGAGAACCGACUUCGGAUUUGCUCCUUAGAUAGUGAGUAGCAAAGAAGGGUAGGGUUUCAAGUUUAGGGCUCGGUGCUUGCAGGUCUGACUGGUGCCUUCUCUUCAAUAGCUGCUUCAAUCAAUGUCGACAUCUGACUACACCCGUAGCUGACUACUUAUUGAAAGACCGAACAGGAAAUGAAAAGUCGUACUACAACAACUGUAAAUAAACAUUCCCUCCCCGCUCUGACUUUGAUCGACUUGCCCACACAAUGUCUUAUUUGAGAGAAGAGGUCAAGGGGCUAAGUGAAAAAAGGAAGGAAUUGAUAGUCUAAAGGCUUCCAAACUUAAUGCUCUAUGUACAAUGAAAGAAAGACUUUUUUAGAUUCUUGGUUUUAAGGCAAUAGAAAGAGAGAAGGAAAAAAGAAUUAUUGAUGGAUAGGUAAUAUACCUCUUAUUGAUAGCUAUAUUAUAUGAGAUGUCAUUGUAUGUGACAGUUCCUCUGACAUUUUCUUGCAAUCUUCCUCCCAAUAUCUUUAACAGGGUUGUUUUCCCACUGCCAGAAGGCCCCAUUAAGGCAAGAAUUUCACCCUUCCUUCUUCGAACCAUGAGUAUCUGCUUGUAAUUGUCAUGCUCAAACUGGGAAGCUACCUUUGAUACAACUACCUUGAUAGGAUUAUUGGAGGAAGCUUUGCUAAUGUUCACCUUGUACUCAACAUCCGCGAACUGCAUUCAAAGACCAUUUAAAUGGCAGAAGCCAAAACUCUGAAACAUAUAUCAACAAUUUGAUUCUUUGAAACAUUUCUGAGAAAUGAAAGAUUGGUUAGAGAAAAAAUUACCUUGAGAAAUAUGGGGAGGGUUUGAUCUUUAUCAGCAAUUGAUGUAUCAUCCUCUACCUCUAUAUCAAUUUUAGAGCUUCUAUUUCUGAGGUAAGCUUGAGAUAUGAACUCUAUAUUAUGGCCAAAGCCAUUGCUUCCAGCAAUCUGCAUGGAGCCAACAGCUGGAGGGGACAAUGACAAAUCCUCAAUUUCAUCUUGUCUAAGAUGCUCCAUUGUGUCAUGAACUGCAAGUUAAGCGUUGCUCCUGGGUGUUGGACAAAGUGAAUUGUUAUAUAUGGUGGAUAAGAUAGACAUAACCAAAACUCUGCCUAAAUCUUAAAACUGUUGAGCCACAUGCUGCUUCUUCCCCGCUCUAUACAGUAAUAAUAGAGGGCUUUGAUUGAUUGCCUUUUUUUUGUUUUGACGACAAGUUUUCGUUUUCAAUCUUAAUGCAGGAGCAUUCAGCCACUUGACUCGUUGGAAAGGAAACAUCGUUUUUUUUCAUUCUUUUCUUAUGAGGUCGUGUACAACAACCUUAACUGCAGAAGCCUGGGCUGGGCGUACCUCCAUCCCUAGAGUAGCCGUAUGAGGUGGAAGCUCCACGUACGGUUUUAAAGCCGAGCCUUUCCAGCAAUGGGGCCUAAGGACCGAUAUGAUGAUUGGUUUAGGUAGGGCGGCCGGCCUACUACGGGCACCUGUAGGGAUUAGUGUGUGAGACCGCGAUCCACAAACUGACGCAUGGGACUCACCCUUUACUUGGGAAUAGAGAGGGGAAACAUAGCAUGUCACAAGAGCGAGGCGAGGGUUGGAACCCUACUGCGAGAGGGAUGCCUCGCGAGCCAGGAUUUUAGAGAUAAGGCUUUUUGGUGAAGCCAAGUCAAUUUCGGUCCACCAAACCCUGCAACUGAUGAGAAGGACCUAUGGAGUAAAGGGAAGCGUGUACGCUAUCACACUCCCUGCCUUUCAAAGGUUCCUAGAGAACGGGCCAGACGCAGCAGAGCGACAACCGGGGAGAGGGUUCACCACUGGAAGGGGUACAGGAGACGGCCAUCUCAAGGUACAUCACGACCUACAAGCAACACCGGCGAGACCUGGGAAAGCAACCCGAUUGGGUGUUAGAGGAUCCAUAGUACCUGCAGCCUUUCGGACUUCAUAUUCAUCAUUUUGGAAAGCGAGGGGAAGGGAUCUCUUUUCUGUAACGGAAAAAAAAGGGAGCAGAUUUGACUCGGCAUAACCUAAUGAUACAUCCAAUACCAAUGAUCUGUGCCUAGAAUGCGUGCCACAAAUUGUAGUCUACUCGUCAUACAUCGAUUCUUUGCUGGAGAAGCCUAGAUCACUAGUUUUGGACUAUCGAGAAACCCCCUCUACCCGCAUCCCUAGAACUUGCUUUGCUUUUUUGCUUUAAAGAUCCCGCCUGCUUCACACCUUCUAUGAUAGGGGAAAUACUUCCGCACGAGUACUAAUUUGAUUAGCAUAAAUGAGCCUCUUCUAAGCCCUUGAGAUUUUACAUAUCAGCUUCAGAAGAUUCAAUUGGAUCAUUCUUGGCAUAGAAGAAUGAGGAAGAAAAGGUAGAGUGUGCUCUGGAACUCCAACACUUGGGUUGAACAAAAAAGGCUCAAUCUUUCACUAUUCAGGAUUAAGGGAAAGCAAAUGCGAUCAUCACAAGAUGCCUUGAAAUUCCAUUCUGUAGGGAAGGAGGACCUACUGAAUAAGUCUCCAAUCAAUCUCCAGCGGGUGAGAAAAUAGAUUUGCGGAACAUGCCUAGAAGAGGAUUUCAUAAUUCCAGAGGUGCCCAAGCCAUCCGUACUUCAUCUUCACUUCAUCCUUAUACACCUGCUGGACUGUCUAUCCUUCCUUCCUUUUGAUUAGAUGGAUUAUAUCAUCCAAGAGCUAAAACUAAGAGGAAAAUACUUCAAGGAACGAACUUGCAGGCCUUACCUUAUACCUUACCUCAACGAAAAAAGCUAAGGAGAAUGACGAUUCUAUGCCUUAAGGCUGACUGAAGCUUCCCUCUUUCCUGGUCUCCAUUACCCCGAAAAUGCCUUUUUGAAGUUGGGGUCAUACAAGAGGAAGAAGGGGAACUGGCAGAAGGAGUUGGUAUGGUGACGGUGACCCUUGAUGUGACUAAGGAAGCUUUACAGUUGGUGUGAAAAUGGAGGGGAAUUCUAUUGGGCUGAAGGAAGGUUAGAGUUCAGUGACAAUUCAUGCUAACAUUACAUGAGAUGCGGUUGGAAGUGAGGCAACAGUCUUUCUAUGUUUUUCCACUCUAACGAAGUUUCUCGAUGACCCGAAGCAAUGACCAACUCCAUUCUCUCCACCCUUUACGGAGGAGUUUCUCUUUCUUCAAAAGUCCUGUCUCAAUUCUUUUUUUUUUCUGAUUUUGCUUAGUGGGAGCCUUUACAGAAUUUGCUCCCACCGCCAUGGAUUCUUUAGUUUGGUAUUUUUACGGUUGAUUGAAUUCUUUAGCUUCCUUCCUUGGAUCAAAAAUAGGUGAAGUCUUUUCGUGGCUUGCAAUACUCAACUCCAUGUCAUGAGCUCGUGUCGCCAAUUCUUUGAAAGUGCGUGGCUUGAUUCCUUGGAGGAUAUACACAAGACCCCAAUGCAUUCCUUGGGUGCACAUCUCGACGGUACAAGUUUCUGAGAUGCGAUCUUUGCAAUCUAAACUUAAUGCUCGCCACCGAUUGAUGAAGUCCACUACUGGUUCAUCUUUUCUUUGCUUGGUGUUUGUCAACUCCAUCAUACUCACUAUACGGUGAGUGCUGUAAAAACGGUUAAGGAAUUCACCUUUAAGUUACUCCCAACUAUCGAUUGACUCAGGCUCUAAAUUUUUUUUUUUUGAGAGCCAGGUGGGAAUCUAGCUUAACAAAGAGUCUUUCUCGUCGGACCCAUAUACCCAUGAAUGAUUUUAGACUUUAUCACACCAAUUUUGGAGGAUGGUCAACAGACUUGGGAAGUCACCUUCUUCUUUCUCAUUCUAUUACCGAAAGCUCUUUUCUUAGGAAGGAUUAUUCCAGUUUUCAUUCUUAUGACCUGUGCCCUUUCACCGGCGAUGGUAAGUCUAUCGGUGCCAUCAUGAAAUCACCUUCUGAAAUACCACCAUAUAUCCACCUAUCGAAUUGGAUAACGGUAUUAGGAUCUAGCAACCACCAGAAAGAACCCGUUUUCGUUUUCUACUUUGACGCUAUGAAGUCGCUUUCUGCUUUGACACUAUGAAGUCGCUUCCUGCUUUCACUUCGAAAGUAGAACGUUCAGCGGGUGACCCUUUCCUGGCUUGAUGGGAAAUCAAAUAGAUUGAUUGGUCUUUUCCUGAAUUCACUGUCGAAGGAGAGGAAGGAGUCAGAUUUGAAGCUGUGGCAUUUUAUUCAGUCCUUGUUCUUGUAUAGUUUCACACCACUGCCAGAACCUCUAAAUCUCAUAAGAGAAUAAAGCGUAAAAAAGAAAGAUAAAGACGGCUAGCCUUCUCUCGUCUAUCUUGGUAUUUGUAAUGAGAAAUCCACGGAUAUCCGGUAUAAAGUAGGGAGGCUUCGUGUGAUAUAUAUAUAAUUCAUAGACUAAGCUCUUUGAGAGGCUAACCAGAAAUAUCUUAUUAAGAGAACUGAGUUCAAUUCGAUUAAAGGCUAGAUUAGAUUCACGCUAUGCUAGUUGCGUAUAGAAGUUCGAAGAAGCAACAAUCUUAUAUAGAAACUUGUAUUUUAUAGAAAAAGUUAGUGCGCCAGGCAAGGAAAAAUAUCAUAUAGAUAGAAGGGAUACCGCCUAAGCUGAGUUAUGAGCUCUGACACGAUGGAUCUCGAAUCCAGGCAUGCAGGUAUAAAGGAGGUGUGAGGUUACGCUCCCGUAGCCUAUCUGUCCGUCACUCCAAAGUAGUCGAGGAGUGUCUUAGGUACGUAACCCUAGCUUGACUCCUGCUCUCGAGUUACGAGCUAUGUAGUGCCCGCCAAGCACUUAAUCAACACCUGACAUUUCAUGAAGGAGAUUGUGUUAAGUGCCGCUCUAGCACCCGAAACCUUCCCAUAGCAUGGUUGAGUCAGAACCGACAAUGACGAUGCCCCUCCCAACAGUCCGAAGGUCCGAAAGGAGGCACAUCACUCCCUUUCUCUCCUCGUUCUUCUGCUGGAUUGCUGCUCCCGCGCUUUACCCCAAUGGACCACUUAGAAGAGACCGAAUUGGAUGACUCUCUAUAUCAUCUUCUUCAGGGCCCUUUCCUAUUCUUGACUUUUCAUGUUAUUCCCAUUUAGGUCAGAUUCGGAUCCCUCCAUUUUUUCCUUUUCCUUUCGCACCUUUUCCUCGAAAUGAGAAAGAAGAUGGUACACUUGAAUUGUAUUAUUUAAGUGCUUAUUGCUUGCCAAAAAUCCUACUUCUACAAUUGGUAGGUCACCGAGUUAUUCAAAUAAGUCGUUUUUUCCAUGGUUUUCCCAUGUUACAACUUUUGUACCAAUUCGGUAGAUCCAGAAUGGAUCGGUUAAACAUUCCAUUAGGUAGCCUGGUUUUGACUCUUCUGUGUAUUAUUCAUUCUCGUUGGGAUUAAAAAUACAAACUGAGGCAGAGAAGAAACAGAAUGUUGGUCUGAUGGUAAAGUACCCAGCAGAAGGUAAGGUUUGGAAAGACCACAAGAAGCUGGAGAAGGGACAGACCUCGUCAACGGAGUUUUCUGAUGAGCUUUCUUUCAAAAGGCUUGGUUCCGAAAGAUGACCUGAUGGAGGAAGAUUUGAAGGUUGGUGAGUCAAGCAGUCAGACCCAGGUUAAAGAAUAAAGAAAAUGAGCCAAAGUUUCAAGUUCUGUUAGGUAACUUACCGGAUAAGGUGGAUUGCAAGAUGAUCCUGACUUUGCCAAGAGAGUUCAUGGCAAAAACAAAUCAGAAUGAAUCUUUGGAAGGGGAUGUGGUGGAUACUCAAUAAGCUUUCCAUGAGGUAGUGAUGCCAAAAGUUCCUCGAGGUGGUUAUCUGAAGAAGGUUCUUCUCAUUAUCACUGCUCCUCGUGGAGUAGAUCCCGCAUCCAACCAAGUCUUUGACCAGGGAACGGGAGAAUUCCCACUACCACUGGCAGGCCAGCUAGGCCGUGAGCGCGGUGGGAACGGGCUUCCCAAGAAGCUAGCCCCACAAAUGGUUAAUGAAGGUUCUUUCUCAUCUCCAGACGGAUGGAACUUUCAACCAAGAGUUUCUAUUGUCACUUUUAAGAGAAAGAAAGAAGAAUGAGUGUUAUUCCUUUGAUCUUAAUUCGCCAAUGGAUCGUUGGCCAUUGAGUGUCAUGUUUUCCCUUAUGUCUUGUAUGUUUGGGCCAAUAUUGGCGUCUUCAAUUGUCAACAGCUCUUUGGGCCUCAAAACUUUUCUACUCGGGAAACCGAUUGUGAAAAAGAUAAAGGGAUCAUCGAAUCAAUAGCAAUAAUCCUGGUUUAAAGAGGCUCAUAUACAGAACGGCAAGAAAUAAUACCUGGGGCGGCAGAUUCAAUUAAUCGAAAUUCAGAAGCUGAAAUUUCACCUCUACCAUACCAAGCCGGGCAUUCCUCUUAUUAAAGGAAUCAGUGAGUGAAGACAAGAUUGGAUCUUUAAAGCUGAAGUCUUUUUCUUCAUCAAGAGUGAGUGAUCUGUCUAAGAACAAUAGAAGAGGGAUAUACCAUCGAAUCGGAUCUUAGAGAAGUCUCGGUCUUUGUACACACCCGAGACGUGUUCGUUGACAAAACCGCCAUAGGAAUUCCUACUUUUCAAUAGAGUGGAGGCGAACUAAUCAACGAGAAAGAGGCCUUACUCACUACAAACGAAUACACCACAAGAUUGAACUGCACUUAUGCCUCUCCUGCAUCAAGUUGAUCGCCCCCCCUACAUAGUGAUUCUAUCAAUCAUGUACGUAGGUAGGACCCUUCAUUCUGAUUGGUAUAUUAUGAAAAAAGAAAGCCAUUUUCACCAGGCGUACUACACUUUCCCUUGCCCAGAUGUUCGCCUUUCUAAGUCAAGUAAUAGUGACCCAUCGAAGACUGGAGCUUCGUACCAUGUUGACGAAGGCCCCCGAACUGAGGGUUCGAUCAGUAGAAGAAACGACUUUGUCUCCCCGGAAGAAGAAUUGCCCCGGUCUCUAGCCGACUAAUCCCGUUGAUCAUAUAACUGGGAGGGAACGUGUCACAUUAGAGGUGAACGAUCAGAAGUGUCCUCUAAUCACCACGAUGAGGCUGGUCCCUCUUUUAGUAGACUCAGCUAUGAAUAUUCAUUCAGAAAUGAAUGCCAGGCUCUUUCUUUCACGCUAACACCAUUUUCAACAUGCUAAAACUUUCUGUUUUGUCGAGCCCCAAGCUUGUGGUCCUCCUUUGAGUGUGGGUUCAAUUGAAUGAAUCUGUCAAGUCAAAGAAAACGUACGUAGCUGCAAGGAUGGUGCAUCGCCUAUUUAUCGUUCUUGCUCGGGAGCCAAAACGAACACGCCUGCUACCUACUGUACUGGAACUUCGACCAGGCAUUCUACCUUUGUCGAAUCGGAACCAACACCACUGCAUUGCGCUCGAACAAUUGAGCGGCCGCCGGCUUGCAACUUUCGUGCACAGAUAUAGAUUCAUUCCUCGUACCUGGUCCAGCCUCACAACCCUUCGCGGGUUGGUAAGAAGUCAGUCUUGUUUGGUAAGAUGGAAUUGGACAAAGAAAAGAGAGUGCUCAACCAGAAAAAUGGCCAACAAAUAUCGUAAUUACAUAGAUAACUGCUCCUCCCCUUCUCCUUAAGGCUUUAAGGCGAACUGUAUGGUGGCUGGAAAGAAAGACGACCUCACCUUCUCUGGUGUUAUUGAGAGCAAUUUGAGUAUCCCCUGGCUAUACUUGUAUGUAGCCAGCCAUGUUAGCUCCACAUUCUUAAAAAGGCACUCAUCAGUCAACUCGGCCCCUUUCCUAUUUCGCUUUGCCGCUUAUUAAGAGAAUAGGUCCCAAAAAAGCGGCUCGCCUUUCAUCAUCUAUACCAGCUGCCAUGCAAGAACCAAUAAAAAGGAUUUCGACACCCCUCUCCAACUAGUCAAGUGGCUGAACGCCCCUCUCUAGAUAAGAAGCAGAACGCGCCAUCACCUAUAACCCUUUCCUCUGCCGGGGACUUCCAUGAAAUGAAAACGGGCGGCAUCAUCAUAUGCUCCACUUUUGUUGCCCUGGUUUAUAUCCAGGAGUACUCCUAUGACCGAUAUGUCACCCAACCUACUUAAACAACCUAAAGGCUUGGCCCCGUCCUAUUUGGACAAUGACCCCUUAUGGUACGGCUUAGUUAGUUAUUCUCGCAGUUCAGAUAAAAUUCAGACCGGGCUGGGUUAGGUCUCUAAAAGCAUGGUUCUUGCCUCCCUCCCCCUUGAGUUCGUCCAUUCGUUGGGUGAUCCCUUGCUCUCACGUUCGAGUAUUUGCUUGUCGUUUAGGCCCAUGAGUGAGAUUUCUGCCCAUUGCAGUCACCUCCGGGGUUCUUCGCAUCUGGAUAGUACCAGGACCCUUGUGUCCCGGCCCUUGAUCAGAUAAAGCUACCCGCCUUAUGACCCACAACAAAAAAUGAGCCUUGCGACGAGACGCGGACAUUCUCAAUACUGCAGUUCCCUCCGGUCUGUUCCUGGGUUGGUUUAGGGGAACAUCCGAGCGAUUGCCUUCACGGAUCCAAACGCGCUCACAAGGCGCACAAUAAGAAUAAGACCAAUAGAGACUUCAUAAGGGACCAUUUGAGCUGCAGAUCGUAAUGCUCCUAGAAAGUCAUAUUUCUUAUAUAGAGGAGUGAAAGUUCCCAAAAAAUAAGUACUUUUUCAUAUCCUUCUAUGAACCGUACGAGCACGUCCUCUGUCAUCCCCCACCGCGCUUAUGGCUCUAUACCCCAACCCAACUUGCUCUGGCCCCGAGUCCUUCCUUUUUAUUCCUCAAUAAGAGGACCGUGGGAGCAUGGAGGGACCCGCUAUCAGGAAAAGAAUUGCAAUAGCUAAAUGGUGAUGGGCAAUAUCAAUCAGCCGCAGACCCCCAGUUACUGGAUCUAAGCUUGUUUGGCUCUUAACGAGUACAAGUGAAAGCCUCAUUUUAUCUUUAUCAAUCGUGAUGAGUUGAUAAGGGAACAACUCAACGAAAAGUAGAAGAGAUCUUAUUCGCUGAUCUUGGGGCAAAACAGGCUUUUAUCACAGCCUUGAUCACAAGAUGGGAAAAGUACCGACCUGGACCCCAAAAAAGAGAUCAGGUAUUGAACGAUCUACUUUACACAGGUGUGGGCUUACAGGGCUAGGGCUCAUAAACCCUUUCUUUCAUUUAUCAAUAGGGCCCUGCCCUAGUCGGUCACUUUUCUGCGUCGGGAUCGAUAAGUGGAAGUCAUAAAAAAGAAAUCUUUCUCUUCGCACCUCAGAUCAAGAGGAAAGGUUGCUUGUCAAGCUCAAUUUACUAACCAACUUCAUUAUUUUAAUAGGUAAUAGGAAAAUAACAUCCUCAACUAUUCCGUUAGUCAUUUAUAAUAUAAGGAAAGAGGGAAGGAUUACUAAACCUACAAGUUGUCCAUCGACUAUGCCUUUCGGCCUGAUCUUAGGCCCUGACUCACCCUCCGUGGAUGAACCUUAUGGAGGAACCCUUAGGUUUUUGGGGCAUUGGAUUCUCACCAUGGAAAGGCAGGCUGCAAAAGCGCUGACUCAAAGGCUGAUAGGAUUGAACUCAAAGGGAAAAGGAAAUAGGCUAAGCAAGAGGAUUUACCAUCGAUAGUGAAAGACGAAGUGACUCACCAAGAGCAUUGCCCAUCAGGGGCUGUGGGGGUCAGUAGUGGAAUUUGACCUACCUGAGAGGUUAAAUAGCACGUUCAGGCACUCGGGAGAGGAGGAAUCGAAUCCCUAUUAGAGUCCCACCCUAAAGAAAGGGCUAACCUCCUCGUUAGCCUGCCUAUGAAGACGAGAGUUUGAGUGAUGUUCAAGCACUCUUUCGGUCGAGUGAGUCACGUGCGUUCAAGUCAAACCAAAACAAGAGAAAUCGACCUUAGGAAGAGGUUUUCAAACCAUUUCGUUUGGAGUCCCAUCAUUCAGACGGACAAGACAGAUGCCAAGGCAAGAAGCCCCACAAACGUAAUUCAAGAGGGAAGUGCGCCUUCCACCUUUUCUCAUUAGAGUGUCUUGAUGUUAUGGAUAGUGCCACGAGAGUUGAGUUGAGAAAGGCAAUGAAGCGGAAAGGGACGUGUCCUAUUGAGAAAUGAAAGAAGAUGAGAUCAAACCCGCACUAGAACAAAAAAGAUAAGUCGGAGCUCCCUAAACGAAAACUCAGUCGGUAGGUAUAAGCUAGUAGACUAAAAUUCUAACCCACCCUUUUAAGAUUGUUUGUUUAAACUGUUGAGUAAAGCACAACGAUUGAACCAGAUCGGCCGGCCCAAAAAUUGGAUGGGCGUCAAGACACUGUUUGGCGUCGGCGGCUGACUCAAGUGCCCUCCGAAUCGCGCAAAAUGGUCGCCUACUUAAAAGCAGAUCCCGCUCUAGCUAGUUUGCUUUGAACCGUAGUCUUUCAUAUCUUUCUCGGCAAAAGCUGUGGUAUCUUAUGGACCUAACAUAGGUCACAUACCUCACGACAUAAGAUUGAAAGAUCCAAACCUUCUUCUUCGGAGUGGAAAGGGACGUGGCGGAUCGAGGAAUAAAGGGAGAGGAACAGAUUUUGAAUUAGAGUAAGGGCACGCUAAGACAUUCCUUUUCAUGGUUUCGAUCUGCUUACUUUGAAUAAAGAGAAAAAAAGAUUUAGAGCCUGAGUCAAUCGAUAGUUGGGAGCAACUUGAAGGUGAAUUCCUUAACCGUUUUUACAGCACUCGUCGUACAAUGAGUAUGAUGGAGUUGAUAAAAACCAAGCAAAGGAAAGAUGAACCAGUAGUGGACUUCAUCAAUCGGUGGCGAGCAUUAAGUUUAGAUUGCAAGGAUCACCUUUCAGAAAAUUUUGCCGUCGAGAUGUGCACCCAAGGAAUGCAUUGGGGUCUUGUGUAUAUCCUCCAAGGAAUCAAGCCACAUACUUUCAAAGAAUUGGCAACACAAGCAACUUGGGCUUGCCAAUGACCGGAAAGAAAGCACUCCGCUCAAAGAAAGGCUUGAACAACGGAUAACAGAACUUUAUGCAGCCAUUUUUGCUUUCAGCAAGUAGGGGACGCGAAUCUAUGCUUUCUAUCUUUCAAUCAGAUACCAAUUGCUUGAAUGCGUUUGAAAGCCUCGAGAUAAAUUAUAGAAAAAUGCUUUCUAGGUUCUUCUCCAUCAGGCUUUAUGGUUAACGCUUCGAUGGUUGGUGGCUUUUUGGGCUUUGAUGCUUGUCUGUCUGGUCUGUACCGGUAAAAGCGCUCUUCUUUCCAUUUAUGUGAUUUAUUGAUGGAUAUAGAUAGAACUCGAUCGCCUUUUAUGUGGAUACCCCUUUUUUACUCUCAACCAUUGCCAAGAAGAGAAAAUGCUCAAGGUUCUAUAUAUUCUUUCUUUAUUCAAUUCAUUCCUAUCCUUUUAGUUUUCAGUCCCCGGUUUUCUCUCCAAGCCAAUCGAUCGCCUUCUUAGUUAACUGCGGAACCCACCCUUUAGCCAUCUAUCUUUAGAUACGGAGGGCUUAUGAGUCACAAAAUUUGAAGCCCAAAAAACAAGGUAAGAAAGGUGGAGUGGCCUCACACAAAAAGAUUUGUCUAAGCAAUCUCAAAGAGAUUUUCAAUAAGUCAAUACCAAGAUUUGCUAGCCGGCUUGCGCUACUCCUUUCUCUUUCUCCCUUAUCCAGAUCCAACUAAAAAAAAACAGGCAGCCUGAUACAACAAUGCUUUGGUAUCUUUCUUUUUCCCAUAUUUUCUUUCUUUUACUUUUAUUGACAUAGGGUACCAAAGAAAUCUUUAUUUGAAUCAACUUUAUUUUUACUAUCGCGAUAGGUCAGCGAAGCCUGAGCGGGCGCAGAGAAGGAAAGGCCAAACACUUCGGCCUAACAGGAAUGAGCAAUGACAAAAUGAGAAGAUGAGGUGCCUCGGGUACCCCUCAAAUCUUUAUGGAAUGAUUUGACCCCUACUCCUAGAGUGCUAAGCCGUAGUAUGUUUUUUAAAAAGAUCCUUCCCAGUGUGCCAAGCCCCCUCCCAACGGUCUCAGGCCAUGGUCUGGGUCAAUGAACUAGUCUCGUCCCCCUAACCUAAGAGUUCUGGUUAUGACCAGCCGAAAACAGGUCCUCUAGAUGCCUUAUAACCGUCCUUUUUGCCCAUUCCCGCUUAUGCGUACCACACCGAACUAGCUAGAGCGGGAUCUGCUGAAGCGGAAAGAAGCAAGCUUGGGUGCUUUAUUUUUUUUUGCUUGUAGCAUGAUAUGUAGGCUGAACACAAACCCAAUCAAAGUGAAACUCUCCUAAAUCCUAUUCAUAAGUCCUUUCUUACAGGCUAUUCAAGGUCUAUUGGCUUUCUUGCUUAUGCGGUACUUCGAAGGCUAAGCCUCGUUUAUGCACCGAGAAAGAUCACCUGUAGGAAAGCUAUAUUAUACACGAACGACGGCCCCUUCUCUUUACCUUUCCUGUGAGCACAGUCUUCGCCGGUCUCAAGGUUAUCAACAAGACAAGCCCAAUAACAUGCCAAACCUUCACCCAGAGAGCUAUAAGUAAAGCGCUGGGAUAGCAAUGCCCAUAGAGGUAGUAGCAAGAGAGGCCAGGCCGGAAGGCGGCCAGUUGAAGUGAAGAUCGAGAAAAUGUUCUUCAAAGCUUGCUAAAAACCAAAAAAGAAUUGGACUAGUGUAAGGGACUUCCUUUUCAAGCUAGCAUUUUAGACUAAUGCAAUCUAUCUGGAAAAUCAAAAUGAUUAUUGAUCAAGGCGGGAAGUCUCAUUUCCCAAGAAGUAAGUUAGGAAAAAGGGGGAUCGAGGACAGCUUUCAUAUGCGAAAGCUUGGAUACUUGUUGGGUAUUGAAGUAGAAAGAUCAAAGGCGGGUGACAACCUCUCAAUUGUCACCGCCUGGCCUCUCUUGCUACCACGGAAGCACCUAGUGUGGUCAGCACCAAUCGUGUUCAACGAAGCUUACACUCAUUCACAUUGGUUCAUCCUGCUAUGCCCUGGGCCUUUUGCUCUUCUAACGUAAAAGGUGGUCGGGCAUUCGUCAAGGCCCAAGAAUCCGCUGGAUAUCUCAACGGCGGGAUUUGAUACCCGCAUCUGAUCCACCGCGUUUCUCGAUCCUUUUCUUUUAGUGCUUCAACCCGAAGCGAUAGCUUCUAGCUAGUUCAGUGGAUAAGAUGGCUGGGAUCCAACUCACUCAAGAAUAGGACGGCAUUGGUCCGCCGGCAAGCUUGUUCUGAUCUUGGACGCAGUACAUUGGAAUCCUGAAGCACCACCACGAACACUACCAUGCAUCCUCCUGCGCCCAUCCUUUUGGGCACAGGGAUGCGAGAACCAAUCCGAGUAUUCAACCAUUUUUUUAAUCUACAGGCAUGCCCCUAUCCCUGUCUCCAAGUGUGUGAUCCAUCGAUUCACUGAGUGACUUUUUCUUACUGCUGCGCUGGAGUCCCUAUCUCUUAAAGGGUUGGUGUGGCAGACUUCCCCCUUGUUUGCCGAUUGAAGAAAGCCUUAUAUGGCUUCAAACAAGCGAGAAAGGCCCUUUCUAUCGUCAUUAGUCAAGCACGCUAGCUGCAAUCAAAAAAGAGCGCUAACGAGCAAGAAAAGGGAUGCGCUAAGAAGCAAGGGCUUUCGUGCAGCUGCUGCGCCCUUGCUUCUUGCUUUCGAACCGGAGCUUGCACCCGCCGUUUGUUUCAGUCAGAAUGAGUCCCCGAGACCCCGGGACAUUGGCUUCCUCCAACAGUGAACUAUUAAGGAUCGCAUCCCGCGCAGGCGAGUUGCAGCCUAUAAUCUGAACUGAGGACGGGUUUUUGGGGUUAGCUCACCCUUGCGGGAUCACGACCCUCAAUGGAUCCUCUAUCAUCUCUUUUUUUUUGUUUUAGUUAAUUGGUCUAUGUUAUAGUAUUAUAGGAUAAUAAGAUGGUUAGAAAUCCUUUAUUUUUUCAACCUAAUCGCUCUUUUGACUUCGGAAAAAACUUUCUUUAUCAAUAUACUGUUUCUUCUACACACACAUCUCCAUAAUCGAAAAUGUUAAUAGUUAGGAUUCAUUAAAAAAAUCGAGAAUCCACUCAUGGGACAAGAAACCCUUCCCGCAUCAGGCACUAAUAAAUUUUUAACGUCUAAUUAGAUCGGGAAUCAUUCAAAUUAAGAACAAAAGCUCGUUGCUUUUUCUUUCCAUAUAAUUUAAUUGAAGCCGCAGCUCUAUCCAUUUAUUCAUUCGACCCAACUUUAUUUUGUUCCGUUCCAAGAAUUCUAACACGGUUUUAUACCCAUCUAGGAACAAUGAAAUAUUUUCAGAACUUUCCGUUGAUACGACAUGCUAUUUUUACCAUUCAUUCCCUUUCAGGAUCAGUCGUGGUCUUCCAAACUUUACCGAGAGUAUGGACAAAUCCCUCACUUCAUCCAUAUGUGUAAAAGACACUAUAAGUUAGGAUCUGUUUGCUCCAUGGUUAGAGCCUCUUUUGGUGUAUUCUUCUUUCUUUCCUUGGUCUUUCGUUCUGUUAUAUUCCUAAUAACUUUGGCUUCUGCCAUUUAAAUGGUCUUUGAAUGUAGUUCGCGGAUGUUGAGUACAAGGUGAAGAUUAUCCAAGCUUCCCUGAAUCCAUAGGUAGGCAAGAGAGAACCAAGUGAACUAAAAGAUCUUAGUAGCCAGAGGAAAAGAAAGCAAAAGCGAUUCCCGUAGUAGCGGCGGGCGAAAUGGUUGCUGCCUAAAUCAUGAAAACGGCCAUUUUAAACAUUAGGGAUCGACAUCAUCGUUUCUCCCAAGUCCUACAAUGGCCACCAGUCUAUCUUGGUAGCAGUGGAUUCUUUCACCAAAUGAGUUGAGGUAGCAAUACAUCCGAUCCGGCCUGAAAGGGAAGAGAUAAGAAAAGAAGGAAUAGGUAUAGCUCACAUCUUAAGUAUAGUUAGUUCAUUGAAUGACUUAUUAAGAAGCUAGGGCCUACUUUUGUACCAAAGGGUUGACACUUUCUUUCUGGGAUAGAUAGAAUGGGCUCCUACUCUCUUUCAAUCGUCGAUGCUAAAAACAAAGACAAAGAGUGCGUAGACCCGAGGGGAGGUUGAGUCAGCAGCUAGUUUUUUCGGAAUAGGAAUAAAGGAUGCUAUUGAAUCUUGUUGUUGAAGGGAAUUUUAGAAAUUAGAUGGAAUGAGUCUUAGUUUCCAUAUUGCCUGCACUUGUUUAGUCUACUGUCUCAUGGUUUUUAGGGAGAUAGAGAAAGCUACAAAACUCUAUUAUCUAUCUUUUAAUUUCAAAUUAUAUACCUAAGACAAGAAGAAAUUCAUUUUAUUUUCCUAAUUUCACGAAAGAAAGAACUUACUCUUGGUGAUAAAGGCUUCUUGAUUCGUAAUCAGGAAUAUAGGUCAAAAAAGAGUUAUCCACAACUUUAGUUUUGAUUCUUUCUAUAAUUAGAUCUUCUAUCACCAAAGAAAGGGCAGUCGGACUCCUUCUUUCGGGAGCUAUUUUUGGGGCUUUUAAAGCAGGUGACCUUUUCGAACGAAGUACUAUUGUGGAGAGUAUACAUGACGGCUCUCAAAAAGCUGAAACAAAAGAUCAAAUCGGAAGGAUCACUUGUACGUAAUAGAAUUGAAAUCAAGGCAAAUUCCCCUGAUGGGAGUGAACAUAGGAAUUCCCCGACGAACGAAUGCAAUACAUGGAAGGCUGGAGGAUGUAGUACUGGACAGCUUUACCUACGAUAUUUCCUACUCCUACUUUUCAUACAAAGAGAAUGGGCAGCCUGGAAAACUUGGAAUGAUUACAGAAUGCUUACCGCCUUCGGUACCUUUACCCGGGAGUAGAAAAAAAGCAAAUAAAUCUCUCUUGUACUGGAGAGUUUUCCCCCUAAGGCAUCCAUAGGCCCUGAAAACGCGACUUUAUAUGCUUGUAGGGGUCUACUCAUUUGCCUUCAAUCCUGCCUUUUGAGGAAGAGGCCGCUAAGAAAGGCCUUCCAACCAUAAUGCCUCCAUGGACGGGCGGCGUGCUCCAUUCUUAGUAUUGCACAGUUAGUCCUGCAUGAGUAGAGGCGCGCAGGAAAGCAAAUAGAAAAGUAGUGUUUCUCCGCGGCAAGCAUAUUCAAGUACCGAACAGCCCGAGGAGUAGGCUUCCUGAUGCUAAACUCUAUUCCUUAGGUUUGGAGGUUGAUAGGUUCCCCCUCAUAUUUUCCUUAACCUAAUUAAUCAACCCCGGGGGAGAAUGAUAAUGGAGAUGUAUUGUGGCCUUCUCUUGUUCAUCAACUCGAACCUCAUUCUUCUGCAGUUGAUGUUACGGAUUAGCCUCACACUUUAGGCCAGCAGCUUUGCUCAGCAUUUUCUGCCGACUGUCAGCCUAUUCAGCUGACCUCAGAGGAUUCCUGUCACAAAACACAGGUAGUAAAAAGAAGGGUAGAAAGGAGAAUCAUAGAACGAAUGAAAGAUGGAGACAAAGGGCGAAGGAUAUUCAUGAUAUUCGAAAAUAUUUCUGUUCAUUUGCUCUGCUCGCAGAGCGGUAUACCAAAAAAAAAAGAGACUUGUCGGAAAUUGCCGGGAAGUCUACACCAGCCCACUAGCAAAACAAAAGGCAAGGAACUUCUUUCACUAGUAUAGUAUCGGGAACAUGCCACAUUCCAUUGAUUCUGAGAUUUUGGGCUGAAAAAGCUCGUCGAUCCAAAUGAAUCAUUCUUCUGGUCUCUCUUUGCUCCCCACCCCGAAAUUGACCCACGGCACAGCACCCAUUCGCUUUGCGCGCGGGAAGGCAACGAAGUUCAAUUCAUGAGACCGCAACGCAGCAAAGCAGAGCAGCCAUUUUGGAUCGUCUUCUGCCCAAUGCGGUACCCCCCAUUUUUUUUUCCCAUUGGGUUUACCUUGUUCACAGGUCGACCCCAUGGCAGGAAAAAAAGGCGAUAUUGUGCUAUACUUCGGUGAUAUCUUUCCUACCGAGACACGCAAACUCCCAUCAUGUCCUAGAUGACAUUCCGUGAAUCGAAAGGGGAAGCCUACUCUUCUAUCAGCUCCUUGACAGUCAGUCUGAGUCAAGAUUUUACUUAGUGAUCCGAAGGAGCAAUUUGAAUUACUGCAGUAUGGGUAUUAUCGAGAGUGUGAUCCCCUCCUCAAAGCACCCUUUAGCUUUCCCAAGUCUGGUCUUGAGACCUUGCGGGAUAGUCCUAUUAGUGACUUUUGCCAGUUCCAAAUUCUAUCUCGGUAGGACAUGUAUUUCUAUUACUAUGAAAUUCAUAAAUGAAGUAGUUAAUGGUAGGGUUACAUGCAAUCAUAUCCCAUCUUGACUGGGCAUGUAUAUUUCUAGGCUUUCACAAUUUUGGUUUGUAUAUUCAUAAUGAUACCAUGGAGUUAAACUUCCGUUUGUCCAUAUUUCGAUAAAAAGUAUCUCUUGUUUUUCAUUUCCAUUCCCAUAAGAAUGAAUACUAUGAUUCGUGCUUUUGUAGACCAGCUAGUAUACAUUAAAGAAAGUGGCUUCCUCAAUUAAACUAGCUUCCUCAUCUUCUCUUCCCCCCAACAACUUCACUCCGGAGGAAUCGCAUAUUCUUAAGCGAGAAGAUCAGACUCUUAUUAUUGAAAUUCCAUUGUUUGCACGUAAUAGCUCAUUCUCUAAAUUUUUUUUUAUGCUCAAUCUUUCCGCUUUCCCUUUCUAUUUGACCAGGUCAAGGCUGCUGUAAGCAGUUCUGAUCUCAAGCACCUAUCACAGUUUUCGAGUAGCUCUGAUCCACCGGAGCAGUUACAAUUGCUUCAGCUGGAGCUGCGACAAUUGCUUUAGCAGGCGACAGAUAUGGCCAUAUCUUUUUGAUAAAUGUGGUAUCGAGGUUCAGUUUAUUUGGAAAAGAGGUCAAUCUUAGGGGAGACCAUUCGAAUGGUUUAAUUGAUGACUUCGCGGAUCUUGGUCUAUUUGAGAUUGUUCCUUUUAAUCGUAAUUAAAGAUGUUUUCUUAUCUCUCAUAUCUUUUCUGAAAAAGAAGAACCUAAUGGAUCGAACUCAUAUAUUGUACCUGGUAGUUUAAAUCAGAUCUCUAUUUCGGUACAAUGAGAAGGGGGGCUUCACCUGAUCACUCUGAAUCCGCUGAUCAGGAAGAGAGAAAGGAAGAGGUUUUUUCUUUAGAUAAAGCAGAAGCUCGUUCCUGGCCUCUUUGGCAGUAGCUAAUCUGAAUUCAUAACCUGCCAUCUUUGGGCAGGAGUCAUCAGAUCUUGACCAGGCAAAGGAGCGAUCGACACUCGCUCGCAAGUUUUCAGAAGUGGUAAGCGCAAGGACAAGUUGAUUCAGAAAGGGGAAGAGGAGUAGCCUAGCCUGGUUCUUAUUUGUUUUCCUUAGCGGUAUAGUACGGUACAUGGGAAAUCACAAUCAGAGAGAAGUAACGAUAUGAUAGAUCCGCAGGAAAUCGUGAAGUACAUGAAUUCUCUAUCUCUUUCCUUAGCUGAGAGCGAGGGAGCACACUCUCGACAUGCAGGCAUAUCUCAUUGAAUCAAUCUUUUUUGCCACAUCGCGUAUAAGGGGAAUCAAACCGUCUCUGCUGCUGGCGGGCAAUUAUAUAAUGUACUACUUCGAUCCAGCAACUUCUUAGGAGUAGGUUUUGGCUUGGGAAAAACCCGUGGAUGAGCGAGAAUAUAUGAAUAUUUUUGUUAGAAGGUUUCCCCUUAUAGUCUUUUUUGUUAAAAUGAAUGCGGAUGGGUGCCUGCUUUCUUUGAGAAUUUGGAUCGUACAACCAAGAAUGUGGCUGAAUUCUGGGCCAUCUACCGUGGCCUUAUGUUGGCAUGGGAUUUGGGUUACAAGCAGGUCAUUCUUGAAACAGAUUUGGAAUAUUGUUUGCAUGCUGUGAUUCAUUUGAUUUCCUCUAAUCACCCUCAAGCACAACUGAUCCAAGCUUGCAGGAAUCUUGUUCAAAGGGAUUGGCAGUGCUUUUGUAAGCAUACUCAUAGAGAAGAGAGAAGGUAAGAUCGCGGCCGACUGGUUGGCAUCUAAAGCUCUAAAGCAGUCGCCGGGUUAUCAAUAGCUUUUGACCUGUUUGCCUGGAUAUAAGAUACCUAAAAAAGAAGAAAAAAAGGAAAAUGUUAUUGUAAAUGGCACGAGAAAUGGACUUACUCUACAAAUAAUUAUGUAAAUUGAAGGAAUCUAAUUCAAGAUUACUUGGACAAAGGUUUGUUCCAGAUAGCAGAGACCAAUGGGAAUCGAGACAUCACUAUUUGCGGGAGCAGUAGAGAUCAAUAUGAUGUCUGCUGACUUAAGGAAGUUGUCUAACCCACAAAAAGAGUUGGAGGCGGCUGAGCACAUCCCAUCCCACAAGAGUCAAGCCCAUAAAGAGUGGUAAGUCAUUCGCCAAGGCCAUUACCAACAACAGGAUUAUGUUCGAGAUGUCAACUUGAAAUCUUGAUGAAUCAAGGAGAAAAGCAUCUACCCUUUCAAAAAAAGGAUGGAAUGGCGACCUGUGGUAAGAGAGCCUUUAGCACAAGAGCGAAGGAUGACGACUGAUUGAAUUGCCCUCUCUACUCAAUUAAUUGAAUAUAGUUGCGUGAAGCAGCAUAAGUGCUAACCUGAUCUAAGGAAAGAGAGGGAAUGUGAAAGCAAGUCUAUUUCGAGGCCUUAAGCGUCUGUAGGCCUAUCAGCCAUGAAGUACGCAUAAGCGGGAAUGGGCAAAAAGGACGGUUAUAAGGCAUCUAGAGGACCUAUUUUCGGCUGGUCAUAACCAAAACUCUUAGGUUAGGGGACGAGACUAGUUCAUUGACCCAGACCAUGGCCUGAGACCGUUGGGAGGGGGCUUGGCACACUGGGAAGGAUCUUCUUAGAAAACAUACUAUGGCUUAGCACGCUAGGAGUGGAGGUCAAAUUACUCCAUAAAGAUUGGAGGGAAUAAUGAUUUUCACUAUUCGCCAAAGUUGUAGAUAAGAGAAGGGCUUAGCGCAAGGAAAACAAGCUAGCCAAGAUUGGUAAGUCUAGAACAGAAUCCAGAGGGCAUGGUUUGCUAAAUUUAGUCGACGUUCUUUCUGCAUAUGGGCUGAAGCAAACUGAGGUUGAUCAUUCAGUAUUUGUUCGUCAUAUCCAAAGUGGAUCUCUAAUCCUUGCUGUCUAUGUUGAUGAUAUUGUAAUUACAGGUAGUGAGAGGACAGGAAUUGUUGACCUGAAACAGUAUUUUAGUAAACACUUUUUUACCAAGGAUCUUGGAAAGCUUGGAUACUUGUUGGGUAUUGAAGUAGCAAGAUCAAAGGCGGGAAUAUCACUUUAUCAAAGAAAGUAUGUUACAGACUUUUUAGAGCAGACCGGAUUGUUGGGAGAAAUGUAGAUACUCCUAUGGAUCCGACUUUGAAAU
rnacentral:lncRNA from 1 species